GGCGGGGCUAAGGAAACAGCUGCCCUGUGUUAAUGAGACCUCAGAGUGGCCGAGUUACCAGCUCAUUGUUAAAGAACUCCAAGCCUCUCACCUGGCCAAGGCCAGAGUUAAAGAGAAAAAGAACCGAAGUAACUGUUCUUUUCCCUGCUGCUAUCAGCUGGAGUUAAUCAACAGAAACUAACAGCUUUUGGCCUUGAAUAGCAAGAAAGAGUUAAAGUGGCAAAAGUAAGCAGCUUUUGGCCCCAGUCACUACCAACUUUACACGUCCCUUCUGUUGUCCUCCUGUGAGAACACGAUAGCCGCCUGCUACCCACCCCCGGCAGCAAUAAAAUACUUUAAAUAAAAUAUGAACAUUGUUAGGCAUAAUAUUAUCACA